UACGUAGGGUCCGAGCGUUGUCCGGAAUUAUUGGGCGUAAAGAGCUCGUAGGCGGCCUGUCACGUCGACUGUGAAAACCUAGGGCUCAACCCUGGGCCUGCAGUCGAUACGGGCAGGCUUGAGUGUGGUAGGGGAGAUUGGAAUUCCUGGUGUAGCGGUGAAAUGCGUAGAUAUCAGGAGGAACACCGGUGGUGUAGACGGCUCUCUGGACCAUAACUGACGCUGAGACACGAAAGCGUGGGUAGCAAACAGG
rnacentral:rRNA from 1 species